rnacentral:rRNA from 1 species
AAAUUGAAGAGUUUGAUCAUGGCUCAGAUUGAACGCUGGCGGCAGGCCUAACACAUGCAAGUCGAACGGUAACAGGAAACAGCUUGCUGUUUCGCUGACGAGUGGCGGACGGGUGAGUAAUGUCUGGGAAACUGCCCGAUGGAGGGGGAUAACUACUGGAAACGGUAGCUAAUACCGCAUAACGUCGCAAGACCAAAGAGGGGGACCUUCGGGCCUCUUGCUAUCGGAUGUGCCCAGAUGGGAUUAGCUAGUAGGUGGGGUAACGGCUCACCUAGGCGACGAUCCCUAGCUGGUCUGAGAGGAUGACCAGCCACACUGGAACUG